AGAGUUUGAUCAUGGCUCAGGACGAACGCUGGCGGCGUGCUUAACACAUGCAAGUCGAACGAGGUGCUUGCACCUAGUGGCGAACGGGUGAGUAACACGUGAGCAACCUGCCCUUGGCUCUGGGAUAGCCUCCGGAAACGGGGAUUAAUACCGGACAUGACCUUGGACCGCAUGGUCCCGGGUGGAAAGUUUUUCGGCCA
rnacentral:rRNA from 1 species